rnacentral:tRNA from 2 species
AGUCACAUGGUCUAAUGGUUAUGAUAUCUCGUUCACAAAGUUUGAAAGCCGAGAUGGUUCUGAGUUCGAUCCUCAGUGUGACUA